CGGAAUCGUACCCAUCUUGUGUACAAAAUCUCCUGUAUGUGAAACUCCUCUUAUAUAUGAAAAAGUUCUCAACCAUCUUGUGUAUGAAUUAGCAGCAGGGAAACACGCACAAUGGUCCAUGCUGAAACGUUUUCUCGUCCUCUAACUCGAAACGAAGUUGUUGGUCUAAUUUUCCGCUUAACAAUAUUUGGCGCUGUGACCUAUUUUACAAUUAAAUGGAUGGUAGAUGCAAUUGACCCAACAAGGAAGCAAAAAGUAGAAGCCCAAAAACAGGCAGAAAAGUUGAUGAAGCAAAUAGGUGUGAAAAAUGUGAAGCUUUCUGAAUAUGAGAUGAGCAUUGCUGCACAUCUGGUGGAUCCUCUUAGUAUGCACGUAAGUGUUCUUCGUCUUUUUCCUAUGUAAAAAUGUUACGUCUUGGGGCAAAAUGUUCACAUGGAUGCACAUGUGCUCAUAGUGGAACUGUAUUUUAAUUGAAUUUUCUUAAUUUUGGGAGUAAAUGGACAUUGUGGGACAGACACGCGUGUCAACUUUUAUUACAAGUAAUAUACUUAUCAUAUAGGUGCAAAAUCCUAGGACCCAUUUCUUUUUUCUCA